UACAGAGGGUGCAAACGUUGCUCGGAAUUACUGGGCGUAAAGCGCACGUAGGCGGAUUCGCAAGUCGGGCGUGAAAUCCCCGGGCUCAACCCGGGAACUGCGUUCGAAACUGCGUAUCUAGAGUAAUGGAGAGGGAAUCGGAAUUCUCGGUGUAGAAGUGAAAUUCGUAGAUAUCGAGAGGAACACCAGUGGCGAAAGCGGAUUCCUGGACAUUUACUGACGCUGAGGUGCGAAAGCGUGGGAAGCAAACAGG
rnacentral:misc_RNA from 1 species